rnacentral:rRNA from 1 species
ACUCAAAUGAAUAGACGGGGGCCCGCACAAGCGGUGGAGCAUGUGGUUCAAUUCGACGCAACGCGAAGAACCUUACCUGGGCUCGAACGGCUUCCUAACGGUCGGUGAAAGCCGGCUAUCCCGCAAGGGAGUGGAGUCGAGGUGCUGCAUGGCUGUCGUCAGCUCGUGUCGUGAGAUGUUGGGUUAAGUCCCGCAACGAGCGCAACCCUUGUCCUGUGUUGCAAACCGAAAGGUGCACUCGCAGGAGACCGCCAGCGAUAAGUUGGAGGAAGGUGGGGAUGACGUCAAGUCAUCAUGGCCUUUAUGUCCAGGGCUACACACGUGCUACAAUGGACGGUACAAAGCGCCGCAAACCCGCGAGGGGGAGCAAAUCGCAAAAAACCGUUCUCAGUUCGGAUUGCAGGCUGCAACUCGCCUGCAUGAAGCUGGAAUCGCUAGUAAUGGCAUAUCAGAACGAUGCCGUGAAUACGUUCCCGGGCCUUGUACACACCGCCCGU